GACGAACGCUGGCGGCGUGCUUAACACAUGCAAGUCGCACGGGACCCGCAAGGGUUCAGUGGCAAACGGGUGCGUAACACGUGAGGAACCUGUCCAACGGUGGGGGAUAGCCGGCCCAACGGCCGGGUAAUACCGCGUACGACCUUCGGGGGGCAUCCCCCGGGGGUGAAAGCAGCAAUGCGCCGAUGGAGGGCCUCGCGGCCUAUCAGCUAGUUGGGGAGGUCAUGGCUCACCAAGGCAACGACGGGUAGCUGGUCCGAGAGGAUGACCAGCCACAUUGGGACUGAGACACGGCCCAGACUCCUACGGGAGGCAGCAGUGGAGAAUCUUGCGCAAUGGGCGAAAACCUGACGCAGCGACGCCGCGUGUGGGAUGAAGGUCUUCGGAUUGUAAACCACUGUCGGGAGGGACGAAGCUCUGACGGUACCUCCAAAGGAAGCACCGGCUAACUCUGUGCCAGCCGCCGCAGUAA
rnacentral:rRNA from 1 species